UCCUACGGGAGGCAGCAGUGAGGAAUAUUGGUCAAUGGACGGAAGUCUGAACCAGCCAUGCCGCGUGAAGGAUGAAGGCGUUCUGCGUUGUAAACUUCUUUUAUCAGGGAAGAAACCACAGAUUUCUAUUUGUGUUGACGGUACCUGAGGAAUAAGCACCGGCUAACUCCGUGCCAGCAGCCGCGGUAAUACGGAGGGUGCAAGCGUUAUCCGGAUUUACUGGGUUUAAAGGGUGUGUAGGCGGGCAUUUAAGUCUGGGGUGAAAUCUCCGAGCUCAACUCGGAAACUGCCUUGGAUACUAUUUGUCUUGAAUUAUGUUGAGGUUGGCGGAAUAUAACAUGUAGCGGUGAAAUGCAUAGAUAUGUUAUAGAACACCGAUUGCGAAGGCAGCUAACUAAGCAUAUAUUGACGCUGAGGCACGAAAGCGUGGGGAUCAAACAGGAUUAGAUACCCCAGUAGUCGAC
rnacentral:rRNA from 1 species